GAUAUAGAGCAAAACCCUAAAAAACGGUACUCAGUUCGGAUUGAAGGCUGAAAUUCGCCUUCAUGAAGCUGGAAUUGCUAGUAAUGGCAGGUCAGCAUACUGCCGUGAAUACGUUCCCGGGCCUUGUACACACCGCCCGUCACACCAUGAGAGUUGGGAAUACCCGAAGCCUGUGAGCUAACUUUUAGAGGCAGCAGUCGAAGGUAGAAUCAAUGAUUGGGGUGAAGUCGUAACAAGGUACC
rnacentral:rRNA from 1 species